rnacentral:rRNA from 1 species
UACGUAGGGGGCUAGCGUUGUCCGGAAUCAUUGGGCGUAAAGAGCGCGUAGGCGGCCCGGUAAGUCCGCUGUAAAAGUCCAGGGCUCAACCCUGGAAAGCCGGUGGAUACUGUCGGGCUCGAGUCCGGAAGAGGCGAGUGGAAUUCCUGGUGUAGCGGUGAAAUGCGCAGAUAUCAGGAGGAACACCAAUGGCGAAGGCAGCUCGCUGGGACGUGACUGACGCUGAGACGCGAAAGCGUGGGGAGCGAACAGG